rnacentral:misc_RNA from 1 species
UACUACUACCCACCAUAGAUCGAAUCAAGAAGAGCUAAUUUCAUCUUCUCCAAUCUAAAAUCGAUAACCCCAGAAAGAUUUACAGUAAAUCUUGGAGAAAAAAUGAAACCCCAUGAAAAAUGAUGAAGUAUUGAAGAAGUUUGAACGAAAUCUAAGAGUGUGUAGAGAAUUGGACAUUUAGGGAAGUGGGUGUGAUUGAAAAUCAAGCAAAAUAGGAAUCUGUUUUUCAGGACCGAAAGGGGGCGGCGGCAAAGGCUCUGAACCACAAGCAAUUGUGGUUCAGAGGCUGUCGUCCCCAAUUCAAGCAGUAACAGCAGUAGCUGCUUCGUCGUUUAGGGAGAAUAGUUUUGGUGCUGGUGAUAGUACGAAGAUGAAGGGUUUAUUUAAGUCUAAGCCCAAGACUCCUGUUGACCUUGUUCGUCAGACUCGUGAACUUCUUAUGUAUGUUGAACGGGUUAAUGAUACUCGUGAAGGCAAAAGAGAAGAAAAGAUGAUGGAGUUAAGCAAGACAAUGCGGGACUUGAAGUGCGUUCUUUACGGGAAUGGUCAAUCAGAACCUGUCUCUGAUGCAUGUUCUCAGCUGACUCAAGAAUUCUUUAGAGAAGACACCCUACGGCUGCUGAUUAAUAUGCUUCCAAAACUGAAUUUAGAGGCUCGGAAAGAUGCUACUCAAGUAGUUGCAAAUCUGCAAAGACAACAGGUUCAAUCGCGGUUGAUUGCUUGUGAUUACUUGGAAGCAAACAUUGAUCUGAUGGAUAUAUUAGUAGCAGGGUAUGAGAAUAUAGAACUGGCUUUGCAUUAUGGUACAAUGCUAAGGGAAUGCAUUCGACACCAGAGUGUUGCAAGGUAUGUCUUGGAAUCAGAGCAUGUGAAGAAGUUUUUUGAUUAUAUUCAGCUGCCAAAUUUUGAUAUUGCUGCUGAUGCUGCCGCCACCUUUAAGGAACUCUUGACAAGGCACAAAUCAACAGUAGCUGAAUUUCUUUCGAAGAACUAUGACUGGUUUUUCACAGAGUAUAACUCAAAGCUGCUCGAGUCUAGUAACUACAUCACCAGAAGACAAGCUGUCAAGCUCUUGGCAGAUAUGUUGUUGGACCGCUCAAAUUCUGCUGUAAUGACACGUUAUGUUAGUUCAAGAGACAACUUGAGGAUUCUCAUGAAUCUGCUCAGGGAGUCAAGCAAGAGUAUCCAGAUAGAAGCAUUCCAUGUUUUCAAGUUAUUUGCUGCAAACAAGAACAAGCCUUCAGAUAUUGUUAGCAUCCUCAUCGCAAAUAGAAGCAAGCUUCUGCGCCUCUUUGCCGAUUUCAAGACUGACAAAGAGGAUGAGCAAUUUGAGGCUGACAAAGCACAAGUU